AAAAAAUGGCUGUGAAUUUUGGUCUGUCUUUGAGAAUUACUUGGAUUUGUUGCCUGCUGAUUGUAGGGAUAACCUGUUAUCCUCCACAUAAAGGUGACUAUAGAUAUCUUCCCCAAAUUGCAACAAAGGGAACCGGCUCCUACGCCCCCGCAGCAACAAAGGGAACCGGCUCCUACGCCCCCGCAGCAACAAAGGGAACCGGCUCCUACGCCCCCGCAGCAACAAAG